GACGAACGCUGGCGGCGUGCUUAACACAUGCAAGUCGAACGGAAAGGCCCUGCGUUUGUGGGGUGCUCGAGUGGCGAACGGGUGAGUAACACGUGAGUAACCUGCCCUAGACUUUGGGAUAACUUCAGGAAACUGGGGCUAAUACCGGAUAGGAGCUCCUGCUGCAUGGUGGGGGGGGGAAAGUUUCGGCGGGUGGGGAUGGACUGGCGGCUUAUGAGCUUGUUGGUGGGGUAGUUGCAUACCAAGGCUUAGACGGGUAGCCGGCCUGAGAGGGUGGACGGCCACAUUGGUACUGAGAUACGGCCCAGACUCCUAUGUGAGGCAGCAGUGGGGAAUAUUGCACAAUGGGCGGAAGCCUGAUGCAGCAACGUCGCGUUCGUGAUGACCGCCUUUUGGUUGUAAACCGCUUUCGCCUGUGACGAAGCGUGACUGACGGUAAUGGGUAAAGAAGCACCGGCUAACUACGUG
rnacentral:rRNA from 1 species